AAUGAUCUCAGACGAGAAAAAAAACUAUCGCUGUCAACCUCACCUCCUCCACUCCAACUUGAUUUGUUUAUGGAGAUCCCACCGUUGUUCAUCAAGGACCCAUUGCACCAAAGGUCAAGAGAGGAUUUGGGUGAAGCGCGUGAGGUGCGUUAUGUUUAGGUUUUUCCAAGUACGUUUAUUAUUUUUAUUCCUCUUCACUGUGGUUUUAGCCCACAAAGUGGCUUUAUAAAUGUCGUCACGGACUCAUAAAACGACGUCGGUGUACAACAAAAGUAAUCCAAUUUUAGGGUGAUUAUAUAUCAGAAAGAUUCGAUUUUUAGUUACAGUGAGCGAGCCGAGUCAAAUAUUCCCGCCUAAUUACCAACGAUCAUCUUGGUCGUAACUCGUAAGUCGUAAGCCAAACCCUAAUUCUUCAAAAUGGAAGAAAACCCUAUUCCACAACACUCUGAUCAGAGCCCACCUCGGUUUCGGCGAAGCCCAUAAGGCUCUUCUUCUCUUCUCUUCACCCAGAUGCUUUCCCACCAAGCCCACCCCAACAGCCACACCUUCCCUCCGCUCGUCAAAGCCGUCGCCGGCGGCUAGCCGGGUUCCGGCACAGCCCAAGUUGCGAAACGCGGUGUUUGGGGUGACCCGUUUGUAUGCUGGUUUUGGUGAAGUGUGCGAUGCACGUAAGGUGUUCGAUGAAAUGACUGAACCGUGUGUGGUUGCUUUCAAUGCCUUGAGUGAUGGGUUUGGGAAGAAUGGGGACAUGAUAUGGGUGGUGCUGUUUCGCUAUUCGAAAGUAUGGCAGAGAGGGACGAGUGGGUUUGGUGAGGAAAAAAUUGAAAUGAAGUUGCAGCCACAGCAUUGUGGACGAUACUUGGUUUUGUCAAACAUUCAUGCUGGGAACGAUAGGUGGGAUCACAGAAUUCCAGCCCAGAGUCUGAUUGACGGCAGGUUUUCUGGGGAUAUCCAGAGACUGGAUUUCAUGAUCAAGCUCCAAACGUUUGCUACUAAAGAAUGACAGAACUCAGAUGGAUACCCUACUUUACGCCCAGAAGUCAAUCAGAUUAUGUUAGACAUCAUCCAAAAAAACUACCGCAAGCCAGCUUAGGAAACAGUCUGCAAUAAGAAACAAUUCAGUCUUUCUCGUUAGGCCAUCAGUGAUCGAGCAAUAAUGAAAGGAGAGACACAAGUGGGCGACCUCCCUCAGUAGUUGUCCUUCCAGAACUAAAGAGGAAUAUCUAUGUUGACAUACUGUUUGUACUUCGUUGAAUUUUAUUUGGUAACAAAUUUUUAGUUAUGUUAUUAGUAACAAGUUGCAGUUAAAAAGAUUGAUUUUUCCGA